CCCCACCCCGGCUCAUCUCCCCGCCGUCUCCACCACCCACCCUUUCGCAGUGGUUGGCCUCCCGACCCCUCCUCAUCUUCUCCCGCUAAUCCCCCCAUUCCCCUCGCCACCGUCGUCGGCUGCCCAAGAUGAAUGUCGACAAGCUGAAGAAGGUGGUCGGCGCCGUGCGCACCGGGGGCAAGGGCAGCGUGCGCAGGAAGAAGAAGGCCGUUCACAAGACAACGACCAAUAAAAUCGGGCUGGCCUGCUGGAGCCAGGUCCUCUCCCAGCGCAUUGUUGAUUGAUUCACAUGAAGUGCGAGACGCCAAGAACUCGGGGAAGUCCUAAGGCCGCCUGCCUUCGCCUGCCCAGGACUCGAUCUGGAUCCCCGCCGACAAGCCGAUCCCCGUCCUCCUGCUUGCGAGAGAGAUUGGACGCCGUGGGAGCGCCCAGAUCCCGCCAUGAAUCCUGAGUAGUAAGUCCCUCCCUCCUCUGCUUCGCCCCCAGCAGUUCCGAUCGGGGCUGGGGCUUUUGGGCUGAGAUCUCGCUGGAUCUGGCGUGCGUGGGGGUUGACUCUCGAUCCCAGCAGAAUCGUGUCGUUUUUUUCUUUGUCUGGAUCGUGUCCGCGAGGGGAAUGCAAUGUUUCCAGCAGAGUUUGUGUUUAAAUUAGGUGAAAUCUGAUGUGAAAUCGUUUGCUGUGUGCACCUAUCUCGCUCCAUGCCGCUGGGUGGAUGUACUCUUUUUUUACCCGGUCGUUAUGAUUAGUGUUUCCAGCGUUGUUUAUUGUGGAUUUUAGAUUCCUACUACUACUAUCUAACGGCAGUAAAAGAACAAGACGGAGGAAUAGAGAAUAUGUCAGUUUUGGUGAAUUAUGUAUGCUAAUGUCACUUUGCACCAUCUCUAGUUUCGUAGUCACUUUGCAUCCAUGAUCCAAUCCGUCUCCACACUGCAGAUGUGGGUAAAGUGCACAAGUCUGCUUAACAUCCUUUACAAGCACAUCCAAAUGCUCUGUCUCUUCAUGUUGUAUAACUGUGAUAGUCAUGGGCUGAUAUAACUGUUUGUUCGGUUACCGCUGUAACUGUGGUUGCACUCCACUCAUUCAAUGUUACAAUAUCAUUAUAUCUUAAUGCUGCAAGGGGAACUAUUUUUACAUUCUAUCACAGUAAUCACACACUAGUACAUAGGUAUCUAUUAGCUUAGCAAAACUGGCAUUUUGGCUGAGUAUUAAACAUCAAAAUGUCCCAUCAUCUGUCGCUGCUUACAUUUCUAAGCCUGACAAUAUUAUUCCAUCUAAUUGUUGUGUGUUAUUAUCUUGAAUACAUUUCUCUUUUAAUUUAUUUUUAAUCUUCCAAGCCUGGACAUAGUUAUUGUAUCUUAUUAUCAUCUUUGGAAGUGGCCGGACCCUUCCGCGAACCCGGCGCAAGCCAGAGGUACGUCCAGCGCGCUGCCCUUUUUUUAUCAUCUUGGAAAUGUCACCACUACUUGUUUUAUUCUCUGCACACUGUGUUUGCUGGAGACUAACAUUCUCUUAUUUGACCAUGCAGUGAUUACCUCUUCAAGCUAUUGCUUAUUGGAGACUCAGGUGUUGGCAAGUCAUGUCUUCUGUCAAGAUUUGCAGGUGAUCGACGAGGACUAUUGCGGCCCGAUGGGAGUCGUGCUUUUCAACUACUCGGAGGCCGACUUCACCGUGCAGCCCCGCGACCGCGCCAUACAGAUUAUCGUCCAGGCGAUUGCGACGCAGGAGGUCCCCGGGGUGGAGGACCUCGACACCACCGUUCGGAGGUCACUGAGGUGGAGGAUGACGCCACCGUCCAGAGUUCCUCAAGGUGGAGGACCAUGAUGCUUUGUACGUACAUCUAGAGAAGUGGUCUAGUUAGGUUGGUGGUGAAACGCUAGGGAAGGUACCAACCUUUUGAUGAUGGUUGUGUGUGUCCUCGUGAUCUCUUCGAGUUGAGAUGUUGAAUGUUGCAUCCAUGAACACUGCAAGUGUUAAGAUGGUUCUGUGAAAUUUAUU